UACGGGAGGCAGUAGUGGGGAAUAUUGCACAAUGGGCGCAAGCCUGAUGCAGCCAUGCCGCGUGUAUGAAAAAGGCCUUCGGGUUGUAAAGUACUUUCAGUCGUGAGGAAGGUGUUAAGGUUAAUAACCUUAGCAAUUGACGUUAGCGACAGAAGAAGCACCGGCUAACUCCGUGCCAGCAGCCGCGGUAAUACGGAGGGUGCGAGCGUUAAUCGGAAUUACUGGGCGUAAAGGGCACGCAGGCGGUUAAUUAAGUUGGAUGUGAAAUCCCCGGGCUUAACCUGGGAAUGGCAUUCAAGACUGGUUAGCUAGAGUCUUGUAGAGGGGGUAGAAUUCCAUGUGUAGCGGUGAAAUGCGUAGAGAUGUGGAGGAAUACCGGUGGCGAAGGCGGCCCCUGGACAAAGACUGACGCUCAUGUGCGAAAGCGUGGGGAGCAAACAGGGAUUAGAUACC
rnacentral:rRNA from 1 species